rnacentral:rRNA from 1 species
GUGGCGAACGGGUGAGUAACACGUGGGUGAUCUGCCCUGCACUUUGGGAUAAGCCUGGGAAACUGGGUCUAAUACCGAAUACACCCUGCUGGUCGCAUGGCCUGGUGGGGGAAAGCUUUUGCGGUGUGGGAUGGGCCCGCGGCCUAUCAGCUUGUUGGUGGGGUGAUGGCCUACCAAGGCGACGACGGGUAGCCGGCCUGAGAGGGUGUCCGGCCACACUGGGACUGAGAUACGGCCCAGACUCCUACGGGAGGCAGCAGUGGGGAAUAUUGCACAAUGGGCGCAAGCCUGAUGCAGCGACGCCGCGUGAGGGACGACGGCCUUCGGGUUGUAAACCUCUUUCAGCACAGACGAAGCGCAAGUGACGGUAUGUGCAGAAGAAGCACCGGCCAACUACGUGCCAGCAGCCGCGGUAAUACGUAGGGUGCGAGCGUUGUCCGGAAUUACUGGGCGUAAAGAGCUCGUAGGUGGUUUGUCGCGUUGUUCGUGAAAACUCACAGCUCAACUGUGGGCGUGCGGGCGAUACGGGCAGACUGGAGUACUGCAGGGGAGACUGGAAUUCCUGGUGUAGCGGUGGAAUGCGCAGAUAUCAGGAGGAACACCGGUGGCGAAGGCGGGUCUCUGGGCAGUAACUGACGCUG